rnacentral:lncRNA from 1 species
GUAAAUUAGACACGGGUCGAUCAUCAGAUGGAACUAUGGAUCUUUUUAGGUUUGCUUUAAUGCAUUGCCAAAUAAUUGAUGGCUAAGCUUCAAUUCUUUCAUGAAACUUCUUCUUGCCAGUUUGAAGGAAUCUUAGAACCUUUAUUUUGGGUAUGAUCACAUUUGAUUCUUGAAUUCUAUUUUUCCACAAGCCAGUUUUGAAGGAAUCUUAGAACCUUUAUUUUGGGUCACAUUUCAUUCUUGAAUUCCAUUUUUCCACAAGCCAUGUGUAAUGUUUUUCUUUUGCAUCAUAAGUACAUCAUCAAGAACGGCCAUAAUAAAAUCACUUUGGUGAGAUUCCAGGAUUUAUCUCACUUUUGCUCUAUGGAGAUAUCAGUUUCUGUUGAUUAUUUUUGGCCAAAUAAAAGAUGAUGUUAUAUUGUCA